UACGUAGGGUGCAAGCGUUGCCCGGAUUUAUUGGGCGUAAAGGGCGCGUAGGCGGCUCGGCACGUCCGUUGUGAAAUCGCCCGGCUCAACUGGGCGGGGUCAGCGGAUACGGUCGAGCUUGAGCAAGCUAGGGGGCAAUGGAAUUCCCGGUGUAGUGGUGGAAUGCGUAGAUAUCGUGAGGAAGACCAGUGGCGAAGGCGGGUCUCUGGACAGUUCCUGACGCUGAGGCGCGAAGGCCAGGGGAGCAAACGGG
rnacentral:rRNA from 1 species